UAUAACAAAAUCCAAACAUGUUUAUUAAUAUUAUUUUUAAAUUAUUUAUCGUUGUUUAAAGAAUAAAUUUAUCAGAAUUUUAAAAUAACUUAUGAAUAGUUUAAACGUAAGUUACCUUAUUUAUUUUUCAAAGUAACUUAUGAAUAAUUUUUUUUUCUUGCGCAAGUUGCAAAGUAACUUAUGAAUAGUUUAAAUGUAAGUUACCUUAUUUAUUUUAAAUAUUUAUUUCCCAAGUUAUUAUCACAUUUAUUGAAAUUUUAAAUGACAAUUUACAUUGAUGUUUCUAAAUUCUUAAUUCGUUUGUAAUGACUUACCUUAUUACAAUAUAAAAUCCCUGGUGAAAUAGUUAAUAGGGGGAUAACUUUCUUUAAUCUACGUCAACAUUUAUUGUGAAAAAUAAAUAUAGCAACGUCAUUUAUUUUUGAAAGAUCGACAAUAUAAAGUUGCCUUAUUGAGAAUAAGCAUUUAUUGCACAAGUUAGUAUCACAUUAAUUCGACUUUUAAAUCUUUUUAAAUUGUUAAUUCAUUUCUAAUGACUUACCUUAUUUUAAAUAUGCAUUACUUGCUCAAGUUCUUAUAUAUUAAAUGCAAACUAGCUUAUGACAAUGUAGAGUUAAUAUAUUUCUUUAAUCUAUUUCAAUAUUUAUUGCGAAAAUAAAUAUUCAAACGUCAUUUAUUAUCAAAAGUCGACUAUAUAUAAAGAUAGUCUCAAGGUCUUACAUACAAUACAAUACAAUACAGUGUUGUGAAGAUAUCAAAUUUUUAAAAAUUGUAUGGCAAUGGUUCAAGCUCCCAAAAACCGAGUGUCUUUUAUCAGACAAUUAAAACCAUGUAAAGAUACAUGGCGUAUUGAGGUUAAGAUUCUUCGCUUGUGGGAAAAUUACAACAAAGAUUCUAGAAACACCAUCGAAAUGGUUUUCGUUGUUAAAGAAGGGACAAGAAUUCAUACUUCAGUUGGUGAACAGCUCAUCAAACAAUUUGAAGGGAAACUAACUGAGGGCGAUGCGAAGGUCGUCUAGUUAUUCACCUAAAAUAAAGAAUUACAACACAUAUACAAUACAAUUCUAAUUAAUGAUAAUAUAAAA